rnacentral:misc_RNA from 1 species
GAUGAAGAACGUAGCGAAAUGCGAUAAGUAAUGUGAAUUGCAGAAUUCAGUGAAUCAUCGAAUCUUUGAACGCACAUUGCGCCCCCCAGUAUUCUGGCGGGCAUGCCUGUUCGAGCGUCAUUUCAACCAUCAAGCCCUGCUUGUGUUGGGGUCCUGCGGCUGCCCGCAGCCCUGAAAACCAGUGGCGGGCUCGCUAGUCACACCGAGCGCAGUAGCACAUCUCGCUCAGGGCGUGCGGCGGGCUCCAGCCGUUAAAGCACCCACCUUUCGCAAGGUUGACCUCGGAUCAGGUAGGAAUACCCGCUGAACUUAAGCAUAUCAAUAAGCGGAGGA